UACAGAGGGUGCGAGCGUUGUUCGGAAUUAUUGGGCGUAAAGGGCGCGUAGGCGGUGCGGUAAGUCACCUGUGAAAUCUCCUGGCUCAACUGGGAGCUUGCAGGCGAAACUGCCGUGCUGGAGUGUGGGAGAGGUGCGUGGAAUUCCUGGUGUAGCGGUGAAAUGCGUAGAUAUCAGGAGGAACACCUGUGGCGAAAGCGGCGCACUGGACCACAACUGACGCUGAGGCGCGAAAGCUAGGGGAGCAGACAGG
rnacentral:rRNA from 1 species